UUUGAUUUUCAUUAUCAUAGCGCCAUAGACAAUAACAUGUCGCCAUAUCGUUAACAAUCAUUUCUGUCACAUUUGAAAUAAAAAUAAAACAAAUUAAAAUAGUUUUUCAGUUUAUUAAAAGCCUCAAAACACGAAGAAUGUAAGGCGUAUGAAAUAAUAUGCACGAAAAUAGCUGCUGCUGCUGCCAGCAACAUCAAAAAACUGUAUAGAAAAGAGAAGGAAAACAAGCCUUGGCUUUUAGCCGCAUUUUCCAUUCAUUUUCGUAGUCCAUACAUAUUGCCAGGGUUUUCAUUAUUUUGUUUUUGGAAAAUGCUGCAUCUAUGAAAUAUGAAAUUGUCAUUGCAACUGCAGUGAUGUCUUGCCACAGCCUGGGGAAGUGCUGACAUCAAAGGAAAACUGUGAAUGGCAACAAUUUAAUGUGCUUUUCCUGGCGUAAGCUAAGGCUGCCCUUGAUUAAGGCAUUGCAUUUAAGGAUUAAUUCGUAUUCAAGUUCAAGAACUAUAUAAAACAAUAAUAAUAUAUAUA